GAUGAAGAACGUAGCGAAAUGCGAUACGUAAUGUGAAUUGCAGAAUUCAGUGAAUCAUCGAAUCUUUGAACGCACAUUGCGCUCUCUGGUAUUCCGGAGAGCAUGCUUGUUUGAGUAUCAGUAAACACCUCAACUCCUUUAUUGUAGUUGGACUUGAGCUAUCCCAACAGGACUUUUUGUUCCUGGCGGGAGGCUUGAAAUGCAGGUGCAGCUGGACUUUCUUCUGAGCUAUAAGCAUAUUUAUUUAAUCCCUUAACACGGAUUAUUACUUUUUUGCUGCAGCUAACAUAAAGGUUGAAUUUCCAUUGAGCUGACUGAUGCAGGAAUUUGGCAAGGAAUUUUUUUAAUGACUUGUUAAACUCGAUCUCAAAUCAAGUAAGACUACCCGCUGAACUUAAGCAUAUCAAUAACGGAGGA
rnacentral:misc_RNA from 1 species